UACGAAGGGGGCGAGCGUUGUUCGGAUUUACUGGGCGUAAAGGGCGCGCAGGCGGCAGAUCAAGUCAGAUGUGAAAGCCCCGGGCUUAACCUGGGAACUGCAUUUGGGACUGGUUUGCUAGAGAUCGGGAGAGGAGAGUGGAAUUCCCAGUGUAGAGGUGAAAUUCGUAGAUAUUGGGAAGAACACCGGUGGCGAAGGCGGCGACCUGGUCCUUGACUGACGCUGAGGCGCGAAAGCGUGGGGAGCAAACAGG
rnacentral:rRNA from 1 species